rnacentral:misc_RNA from 1 species
CGUUGUUGCUGCCCCUUCUUAGCCCUUGCCUCUAGGCUCGGGCUGGACCCUGAUGCGGUUCGAGUGCCCCAAGCACGCCCACUCGGCUGCUAUGGAUCACUCGUUGCCGCUCGUGCAUUCGGAUGCGGAACGCUAAGCGAUGCCGGGGCGCGCCCAGCAGCCCCCGCAUGACCCUAAACAACGAGCGAAACUUCGCUCCCCGAGAAUGACCACCGCGGCGCUCGCUCUUCCAUCCAACCGUUCGCUCGGCGAUGGGAUCUAGCGCGCCGCGGUGCCUUCAAGGGCCGCUACCUGGUUGAUCCUGCCAGUAGUCAUAUGCUUGUCUCAAA